rnacentral:rRNA from 1 species
GGUAUGCUUAACACAUGCAAGUCGAGCGCGAAAGUGGCUUCGGCCACGAGUAGAGCGGCGGACGGGUGCGUAACACGUGGAUAAUCUGCCUUCAGGUCCGGGAUAACCCUGGGAAACUAGAGCUAAUACCGGAUAAGACCACAGGUUUCAUGGAACCAGAGGUAAAAGGCGGCUUUCGGGCUGUCUCCUGAAGAUGAGUCCGCGUCCCAUCAGGUAGUUGGUGAGGUAACGGCUCACCAAGCCUAAGACGGGUAGCCGACCUUAGCGGGUGAUCGGCCACACGGGGACUGAGACACGGCCCCGACUCCUACGGGAGGCAGCAGUGGGGAAUUUUGGGCAAUGGGCGAAAGCCUGACCCAGCAAUACCGCGUGAGGGAUGAAGGCCUUCGGGUCGUAAACCUCUGUCAGCAGGAACGAUGGGUUUCCGUGCUAAUACCGCGGANACUUGACGGUACCUGCAAAGGAAAGCCCCGGCUAACUCCGUGCCAGCAGCCGCGGUAAUACGAAGGGGCAAGCGUUGCUCGGAAUUACUGGGCGUAAAGGGUCCGCAGGUGGCCUCGUAAGUUGAAUGUGAAAUCUCAGGGCUUAACCCUGAAACUGCAUCCAAAACUGCGAGGCUUGAGUCCAAGAGAGGUUGGCGGAAUUCCCGGUGUAGCGGUGAAAUGCGUAGAUAUCGGGAGGAACACCAGUGGCGAAGGCGGCCAACUGGCUUGGAACUGACACUCAGGGACGAAAGCGUGGGUAGCGAACCGGAUUAGAUACCCGGGUAGUCCACGCCCUAAACGAUGGAUGCUAGGUGUGGGGAUGAAAAAUCUCUGUGCCGAAGUUAACGCAUUAAGCAUCCCGCCUGGGGAGUACGGUCGCAAGAUUGAAACUCAAAGGAAUUGGCGGGGGCCCGCACAAGCGGUGGGANCAUGUUGGUUUAACUCGAUGCAAAGCGAAAGAACCUUACCAAGGCUUGACAUACUGGCUCAAGCUAAUGUGAAAAGCAUUUUGUGUUGUUNAGGCUUGCCUWACAUAGUCAGUACAGGUGCUGCAUGGCWGUCGUCAGCCCGUGCCGUGAGGUGUCCGGUUAAGUCCGGUAACGAGCGCAACCCCUAUGUUUAGUUGCCAGCACGUAAGGUGGGAACUMUAAAGAGACUGCCGGCGACAAGCCGGAGGAAGGCGGGGACGACGUCAAGUCAUCAUGGCCCUUAUGCUUUGGGCUACACACAUGCUACAAUGGCGGAUACAAUGGGUUGCCAAACUGCGAAGUGGAGCCAAUCCCAUCAAAGUCCGUCUCAGUUCGGAUUGCAGGCUGCAACUCGCCUGCAUGAAGUUGGAAUCGUUAGUAAUCGUGGAUCAGCACUGCCACGGUGAAUACGUUCCCGGGCCUUGCACACACCGCCCGUCACACCACGAAAGUCGGUUCUACCCGAAGUGGUUGAGCUAACCCGCAAGGGAGGCAGGCUCCCUAAGGUAGGGCUGGUAA